GAGAGAUGGCGUGUGCGCUCUCACCUCUCAGCGCCUGGUGCAUGCCUCCAAUGCCGCUGUACAGCUCCAGGACGCGCAGGGCCUCCAUGCCCGCUGCGCCGCCGCCGCCGCCGCCGCCGCCGCCGCCGCGGAGCUAGGCCCGCCGGUUCCCUUCUCAUCUUCCUCCGCCCGCCCUGCUCCCUCGCCUCUGGUUCCGCCGCUUUUCGGUUCCCCCUCGCCGGCCGCUCAGGCUCCGAGAGCUGCUAGCAGCGCGAGGCCCCCGGGGACUAGCAGGGGUCAGCGGGGGGACAAUGGGCACAAAACAAUGCGGCCUCCCAAGGGAAUAGCGGCCCGAUUUACGCCCUAUCUACCUUCUAGAGUGCAUUCAGGGACCUUGGAGUCCGAAGCCAAGGAGACGAAAUCCACCUUUGCCCCAAAGUGAAUUCACAUGGGUUAGACGCCAGAAAAGGUCGUUUCCCAGGCAGACUGCUUUUCCGUCACUUGGAGCCUCAAGUGUCCAAACCUUACUAGCGUUAGUAACGCACCACGUGCCAGGUGUUGUGUCUGUGCUGCGGUUACCGAGAGAGAGAGAGACACAGCGAGAGAGAGAACACAAGCAGGGGGAGUGGGAGAGGGAGAAGCAGGCUUCCCGCCGAGCAGGGAGCCCAAUGUGGGGCUCGAUCCCAGGACCCUGGGAUCAUGACCCGAGCCGAAGGCAGACGCUUAACGACUGAGCCACCCAGGCGCCCGCACACUCACAAUGGUGGCAUUUGCCGGGCAGUGGCUUGAAUAAAGAGCUCUCAGGGAACAAGAUGGCAACGUGGAG